rnacentral:rRNA from 1 species
CUACGGGUCGCUGCAGUGGGGAAUAUUGCGCAAUGGGCGAAAGCCUGACGCAGCAACGCCGUGUGAGGGAUGAAGGCUUUCGGGUCGUAAACCUCUGUCGGAAGGGAAGAACGGGCAUUGGUCUAAUAGGCCUUUGUUUUGACGGUACCUUUAGAGGAAGCACCGGCUAACUCCGUGCCAGCAGCCGCGGUAAUACGGAGGGUGCAAGCGUUAUUCGGAAUUACUGGGCGUAAAGCGCACGUAGGCCGUUUUGUAAGUCAGGGGUGAAAUCCCACGGCUCAACCGUGGAACUGCCUUUGAAACUGGAGGACUUGAAUCCUGGAGAGGGUGGCGGAAUUCCUGGUGUAGGAGUGAAAUCCGUAGAUAUCAGGAGGAACACCGGUGGCGAAGGCGGCCACCUGGACAGGUAUUGACGCUGAGGUGCGAAAGUGUGGGGAGCAAACAGGAUUAGAUACCCCCGUAGUC